rnacentral:rRNA from 1 species
CCCGGACCCAUCCCGAACCCGGAAGUUAAGCCCGCACACGCCGAUGGUACUGCUCCCGACAGGGAGUGGGAGAGUAGGACACCGCCGGAC